rnacentral:lncRNA from 1 species
GACCAAUCAGAUCCGGAUGCUCGCCUUACCUCCAUCCCCGAAGAUGCAACUUUCGAUAACUGGAGGAUUGUCAAAGAGCUGGCUGAGAGAUCAUUGCUUCUAGUGGAGCUGAGGAGAAUCGACAGCAUGAGCUUUGACGACCUGCAGUUGCACUCAGUGACCACCAUGCAUCAGGAGCUUUUUCUUUUCUUUUAGCUUGUCCUUUUGCUCCUCUUCUCCUCUUUUUUGUAAUCGUGGUUUCCUUGCAGAUGCUUCAUUUCUUGGUCAUCCUCUUGAGCCACGCACAUAGAAUGGAGAUCAACAGAAAUUUGUGCCAAAAGGUUGAGUCUGAUGUCGUGGAGGUGUGUGCAUAGGCCGAUGCAGUUAGAGGGGUGGUAGACAAUUUGAAGGAAUCCCUAAGUAAAGUUUCUGCUGAGCUUGUACAAAGGGGGGAGAAGCUUCAAGAGGCCAAUGUUAAGCUUAUCAAGGCCAAGUGAAGGGCCAAGGAAAGGGUCGCCAAGGCCAAGCAGCAGGCUAAGGAUCGGGUCACUGAG